rnacentral:snRNA from 1 species
GUGCUCGCUUCGGCAGCACAUGUACUAAAAUUGGAACCAUACAGAGAAGAUCAACAUGGCCCCUGGGCAAGAAGUGAAGGCAGACUUGAGCUCCCAGAAGAAAGAAU